UACAGACGCAUAUAGACAAGAAAGAACAGAGAACAGGGUAACCCAAACUUGCUCAACACGUUGCUGUCGUUCAUUCAACAAUGGUGCGUUGUCCCAACUAAACUGAAAGUUUGGAGUGAAAUGGCCAGCAAAAAACCAGAAAAACAUAUCCGGGAAAUGUAUUGUAUUCUUGAAUUUAGUAAGGGCAGUAACUCAAAAGCUGUGACCAAUAACAUUUGUGAUGUUUAUCCAAGUGCACUGGUAGUUCGCAAAUGCUAAAGUUUAAAUCCUUAUUUUGAUUUCUUUGCGCCCUAUCAUGAAGACAAACAAUAUUAGACAACGACAUGCUAAGUGCAGAAGUGGAAGCAAAGACAAUCAAGGAACUUUUAAAAAUAUUUGGAGAGAGAG